UCCACGGCGCUGUGGAGAUAGCUCUGGUAAUGAGAGACUAAAAAGCAGGUGAGGUCCAAUUACCUGAUGUCAGGGUAUUUGGCUGCGAGACCAGAAACUUCCAAAGUGAGCAUGCCGGGGUCUUUCAGUCGGAUGAAGUCAGCCAGGACGAGUAGUAAGGCCAAAGGAUUCACUUCAGCAAGAGUCAGUCCUUCUCACCAGGCCAUGGAGGAUUUCUCGAAACUGCUGGUCGUCCUGAACCAUCUGCUGGGCGAGCUGCCUCCUCUCCUCGGCGCUGCGACACACCAGCCUCUUCUGCAUCAGAGCCCUGACGUACUCCACCACCAUCAGCCACUGGGCCUCCUCCUGCAGACGCUGUACACACAAUAAUAACACUCAGCAGCCAUGUUGACCACACACCAGAGAUUCCCCCAGAAAAAAGUUGUUUUUUCCAAACAAGGGCCCGGCUGGGGACAGUCACAGACUGAUGGCAGCAUUAUUGUCAAGCCCAAUAGUUUCUGUGAUAACAGAAUCACGGACGGAAUCACAAAGUUUAAAAAAGAUACAAGACCGAUUUCAUAGGGCCCUACAUUAAAUCAGUGCUAUAAGGUAACUGGACAUUCUAAAAUAUGACUAUGUCUAAGUUUCCAACUGUAACUGGUGUUUAAUAACUUAAAAAUACAUUACAAAAUAAUUCCAAUAAAUGUUUGGCUACAAAAUA